AUUUUUAUGUUUUUAACUCUUUUAGGGAGGAUGUCAACUUAUGUUGACACAAGGGGUUGAGUGUGAUAACCAGCAGUAAAAGUCAAGAAAACUCUACAGAAUGGUAGACAUUGGUUUGAAGUCCAGUCCCUGCAUGUGCGUGAGUAGCGCAGAGUAAACAAUGUCUAGAAUGACAUGUCGACCUGGAAAUUGAAAACGAAAGACAGGCACCUGAAACAGCUGAUCAGUUCCCAUCUGAUCGUAGUGCUGGACACGCUGGUGUAGCUGACGCGGCUACAACAAUGUUCGCCCUGGGAGGACUACACAGGCAUAGAUCUGUGUGAGGAAAGAUGGCAUCAAACAACCUGGCAUACUAGUGGACACCAAGGAUUACCAAUCACUCGACUACUUCAAGCUGUGUUUUUCCAGAAAGUGUUUUUUAUCUUAUGAAUGAUGCAACAAGCAGGUCCUGAAGCUCUAAUUGUCCUCCUGCAGUCAUCUGAACCUCUGAUUGGUGAGGGGUUUUUACAGACCGAACAAUGGCUGGAGCCAAGGUUUGUGGAUUAUUACAGGAUGAGCUUACCUGCUUGCUGUGUCUGGGCACCCUGACUGACCCCGUCUCAAUCCCCUGUGGUCAC